AUUGUGAACUUACCACUGUUGCUUCGGCGGCCUCGCCCCGGGCGCGUUCGCGCGGCCCGGACCCAGGCGUCCGCCGGAGGCUUCAAACUCUUGUCUUUUAGUGUAUUUCUGAGUGGCAUAAGCAAAUAAAUCAAAACUUUCAGCAACGGAUCUCUUGGUUCUGGCAUCGAUGAAGAACGCAGCAAAAUGCGAUAAGUAAUGUGAAUUGCAGAAUUCAGUGAAUCAUCGAAUCUUUGAACGCACAUUGCGCCCGCCAGUAUUCUGGCGGGCAUGCCUGUCUGAGCGUCAUUUCAACCCUCAGGACCCGUUCGCGGGACCUGGCGUUGGGGAUCAGCCUGCCCCUGGCGGCGGCUGGCCCUGAAAUACAGUGGCGGUUCCCUCGCGAACUCCUCCGUGCAGUAAUUAAACCUCUCGCGGCAGGAUAGCGGUUGAACCACGCCGUUAAACCCCCCACUUCUCAAGGUUGACCUCAGAUCAGGUAGGAAUACCCGCUGAACUUAAGCAUAUCAAU
rnacentral:rRNA from 1 species